rnacentral:tRNA from 1 species
AUUUAAGUAGCUUAUUUAGAGCAUGAUAUUGAAGAUAUCAAGGAGGCUUUUUGUUCUUAAAUA